rnacentral:rRNA from 1 species
CCUACGGGCGGCAGCAGUCGAGAAUCAUUCACAAUGGGGGAAACCCUGAUGGUGCGACGCCGCGUGGGGGAAUGAAGGUCUUCGGAUUGUAAACCCCUGUCAUGUGGGAGCAAAUUAAAAAGAUAGUACCACAAGAGGAAGAGACGGCUAACUCUGUGCCAGCAGCCGCGGUAAUACAGAGGUCUCAAGCGUUGUUCAGAAUCACUGGGCGUAAAGCGUGCGUAGGCUGUUUCGUAAGUCGUGUGUGAAAGGCGCGGGCUCAACCCGCGGACGGCACAUGAUACUGCGAGACGAGAGUGAUGGAGGGGGAACCGGAAUGCUCGGUGUAGCAGUGAAAUGCGUAGAUAUCGAGAGGAACACUCGUGGCGAAGGCGGGUUCCUGGACAUUAACUGACGCUGAGGCACGAAGGCCAGGGGAGCGAAAGGGAUUAGAUACCCCAGUAGUC